rnacentral:rRNA from 1 species
CUGAGGUUUCGGCCAAAUAUGCUUAGUGGCGGACUGGUGAGUAACGCGUGAGGACCUGCCUUCCAGAGGGGGACAACAGUUGGAAACGACUGCUAAUACCGCAUGACGGGGCAUCCCAAAGAUUUUAUCGCUGGAAGAUGGCCUCGCGUCUGAUUAGCUAGAUGGUGGGGUCACGGCCCACCAUGGCGACGAUCAGUAGCCGGACUGAGAGGUUGACCGGCCACAUUGGGACUGAGAUACGGCCCAGACUCCUACGGGAGGCAGCAGUGGGGAAUAUUGGGCAAUGGACGCAAGUCUGACCCAGCAACGCCGCGUGAAGGAAGAAGGCUUUCGGGUUGUAAACUUCUUUUGUCAGGGAAGAUAGAAGACGGUACCUGACGAAUAAGCCACGGCUAACUACGUGCCAGCAGCCGCGGUAAUACGUAGGUGGCAAGCGUUGUCCGGAUUUACUGGGUGUAAAGGGCGUGCAGCCGGGCCGGCAAGUCAGAUGUGAAAUCUGGAGGCUUAACCUCCAAACUGCAUUUGAAACUGUAGGUCUUGAGUACCGGAGAGGUUAUCGGAAUUCCUUGUGUAGCGGUGAAAUGCGUAGAUAUAAGGAAGAACACCAGUGGCGAAGGCGGAUAACUGGACGGCAACUGACGGUGAGGCGCGAAAGCGUGAGGAGCAAACAGGA